rnacentral:rRNA from 1 species
CUGAAACCGUGUACGUACAAGCAGUGGGAGCACGCUUCGGCGUGUGACUGCGUACCUUUUGUAUAAUGGGUCAGCGACUUAUAUUCUGUAGCAAGGUUAACCGAAUAGGGGAGCCGAAGGGAAACCGAGUCUUAACUGGGCGUUAAGUUGCAGGGUAUAGACCCGAAACCCGGUGAUCUAGCCAUGGGCAGGUUGAAGGUUGGGUAACACUAACUGGAGGACCGAACCGACUAAUGUUGAAAAAUUAGCGGAUGACUUGUGGCUGGGGGUGAAAGGCCAAUCAAACCGGGAGAUAGCUGGUUCUCCCCGAAAGCUAUUUAGGUAGCGCCUCGUGAAUUCAUCUCCGGGGGUAGAGCACUGUUUCGGCAAGGGGGUCAUCCCGACUUACCAACCCGAUGCAAACUGCGAAUACCGGAGAAUGUUAUCACGGGAGACACACGGCGGGUGCUAACGUCCGUCGUGAAGAGGGAAACAACCCAGACCGCCAGCUAAGGUCCCAAAGUCAUGGUUAAGUGGGAAACGAUGUGGGAAGGCCCAGACAGCCAGGAUGUUGGCUUAGAAGCAGCCAUCAUUUAAAGAAAGCGUAAUAGCUCACUGGUCGAGUCGGCCUGCGCGGAAGAUGUAACGGGGCUAAACCAUGCACCGAAGCUGCGGCAGCGACACUAUGUGUUGUUGGGUAGGGGAGCGUUCUGUAAGCCUGUGAAGGUGUACUGUGAGGUAUGCUGGAGGUAUCAGAAGUGCGAAUGCUGACAUAAGUAACGAUAAAGCGGGUGAAAAGCCCGCUCGCCGGAAGACCAAGGGUUCCUGUCCAACGUUAAUCGGGGCAGGGUGAGUCGACCCCUAAGGCGAGGCCGAAAGGCGUAGUCGAUGGGAAACAGGUUAAUAUUCCUGUACUUGGUGUUACUGCGAAGGGGGGACGGAGAAGGCUAUGUUGGCCGGGCGACGGUUGUCCCGGUUUAAGCGUGUAGGCUGGUUUUCCAGGCAAAUCCGGAAAAUCAAGGCUGAGGCGUGAUGACGAGGCACUACGGUGCUGAAGCAACAAAUGCCCUGCUUCCAGGAAAAGCCUCUAAGCAUCAGGUAACAUCAAAUCGUACCCCAAACCGACACAGGUGGUCAGGUAGAGAAUACCAAGGCGCUUGAGAGAACUCGGGUGAAGGAACUAGGCAAAAUGGUGCCGUAACUUCGGGAGAAGGCACGCUGAUAUGUAGGUGAAGUCCCUCGCGGAUGGAGCUGAAAUCAGUCGAAGAUACCAGCUGGCUGCAACUGUUUAUUAAAAACACAGCACUGUGCAAACACGAAAGUGGACGUAUACGGUGUGACGCCUGCCCGGUGCCGGAAGGUUAAUUGAUGGGGUUAGCGGUAACGCGAAGCUCUUGAUCGAAGCCCCGGUAAACGGCGGCCGUAACUAUAACGGUCCUAAGGUAGCGAAAUUCCUUGUCGGGUAAGUUCCGACCUGCACGAAUGGCGUAAUGAUGGCCAGGCUGUCUCCACCCGAGACUCAGUGAAAUUGAACUCGCUGUGAAGAUGCAGUGUACCCGCGGCAAGACGGAAAGACCCCGUGAACCUUUACUAUAGCUUGACACUGAACAUUGAGCCUUGAUGUGUAGGAUAGGUGGGAGGCUUUGAAGUGUGGACGCCAGUCUGCAUGGAGCCGACCUUGAAAUACCACCCUUUAAUGUUUGAUGUUCUAACGUUGACCCGUGAUCCGGGUUGCGGACAGUGUCUGGUGGGUAGUUUGACUGGGGCGGUCUCCUCCUAAAGAGUAACGGAGGAGCACGAAGGUUGGCUAAUCCUGGUCGGACAUCAGGAGGUUAGUGCAAUGGCAUAAGCCAGCUUGACUGCGAGCGUGACGGCGCGAGCAGGUGCGAAAGCAGGUCAUAGUGAUCCGGUGGUUCUGAAUGGAAGGGCCAUCGCUCAACGGAUAAAAGGUACUCCGGGGAUAACAGGCUGAUACCGC